ensembl:lncRNA novel transcript
GUUCACCCUGGACCUACUAUUUUUGCACUCACCUCCCUGGUUCUCAGAUUUCUGGCUCCGGUUCCCAGCUGCCAUAGCCCCUUUGGUCCCUUCACUUUGGUGACCCUUUAGGCUUCCCUUUUUAGACCACAGCUGUCACAUGUUUCUGACUCAACUUGCUUCUGCCAUGCCAGCGUCACCCCUGGUCUCAGGAAGCCAGGCACCCCGAAUGGAGAGACCAGCUGAAGCCGCGGCAGAAGAACAAAAAUUGUGAAGAUUUAAUGGACAUUUAUCAGUUCCCAAAAUUAAUAUUUUUAUAAUUUCUUACGCCUGUCUUUACUGCAAUCUCUGAACAUAAAUUGUGAAGAUUUCAUGGAUAUUUAUCACUUCCCCAAUCAAUACUCUUAUAAUUUCUUAUGUUUGUCUUUAAUCUCUUAAUCCCGUCAUCUUUG